rnacentral:rRNA from 1 species
AGCAGGCGCGUAAAUUGCCCGAAUCCUGACACAGGGAGGUAGUGACAAGAAAUAACAAUACAGGGCUACUUCUAGUCUGGUAAUUGGAAUGAGUACAACUUACAUCUCUUCACGAGGAUCAAUAGGAGGGCAAGUCUGGUGCCAGCAGCCGCGGUAAUUCCAGCUCCAAAAGCGUAUAUUAAAGUUGUUGCAGUUAAAACGCUCGUAGUCGGGUUUCGGGUCGGGCCGAGCGGUCUGCCGAUGGGUAUGCACUGUCUGGCGCGGCCUUCUUUCCGGAGACCGCGGCUACCCUUAACUGAGCGGGCGUGGGUGACGGAUCGUUUACUUUGAAAAAAUCAGAGUGUUUCAAGCAGGCAGCUCGCUCUUGUAUGGUACAGCAUGGGAUGAUUGAAUAGGACCCCGGUGCUAUUUUGUUGGUUUCGAACACCAGGAGUAAUGAUUAACAGGGACAGUCAGGGGCACUCGUAUUCCGUCGAGAGAGGUGAAAUUCUCAGACCAAUGGAAGACGAACCACUGCGAAAGCAUUUGCCAGGGAUGUUUUCACUGAUCAAGAACGAAAGUUAGGGGAUCGAAGACGAUCAGAUACCGUCGUAGUCUUAACCAUAAACCAUGCCGACUAGGGAUUGGAGGGUGUUCGUUUCGACCUCUUCAGCACCUUACGGGAAACUAAAGUCUUUGGGUUCCGGGGGGAGUAUGGUCGCAAGGCUGAAACUUAAAGGAAUUGACGGAAGGGCACCACCAGGAGUGGAGCCUGCGGCUUAAUUUGACUCAACACGGGGAAACUUACCAGGUCCAGACAUUGUUAGGAUUGACAGAUUGAGAGCUCUUUCUUGAUUCGAUGGGUGGUGGUGCAUGGCCGUUCUUAGUUGGUGGAGUGAUUUGUCUGGUUAAUUCCGAUAACGAACGAGACCGUAGCCUGCUAAAUAGUCCCGCGAACUUCUUGUUGGCGGCCGACUUCUUAGAGGGACAACUUGUGACCAACAAGCGGAAGUUUGCGGCAAUAACAGGUCUGUGAUGCCCUUAGAUGUUCUGGGCCGCACGCGCGCUACACUGAAGCACUCAACGAGUCCACCUCGACCGACAGGUCUGGGAAACCUUUUGAAAUUGCUUCGUGAUGGGGAUAGAUUAUUGCAACUAUUAAUCUUCAACGAGGAAUUCCUAGUAAGCGCAUGUCAUCAGCGUACGUUGA